GCUCACCUCCUUUUAUUCAAUAAUCUACUAUGAUAAUAUUCUUGUGUUUUUCUCCGUCGCAACAUAUGAAUGAGAAAGGAAGGGGGUGAUAGAUGAAUAAGGAAGGAAAGAGUGAUGGCAAACUGGUUGUGGGAGCGUUUCAAUUCUGUGUGAGUAUAUGUGUGUGAAUGUAAAAGGGAAGUAUAUGAAUGUUUGUAUGCAUGUGUGUGUGUGUGUAUGU